rnacentral:rRNA from 1 species
GGUUAAGCGACUAAGCGUACACGGUGGAUGCCUAGGCAGUCAGAGGCGAUGAAGGGCGUGCUAAUCUGCGAAAAGCGUCGGUAAGGUGAUAUGAACCGUUAUACCCGACGAUACCCGAAUGGGGAAACCCAAUGUGAUACGUCACAUUAUCGCAUGGUGAAUACAUAGCCAUGCGAGGCGAACCGGGGGAACUGAAACAUCUAAGUACCCCGAGGAAAAGAAAUCAACCGAGAUUCCCCCAGUAGCGGCGAGCGAACGGGGAACAGCCCAGAACCUGAAUCAGUUUGUGUGUUAGUGGAAGCGUCUGGAAGGUCGCACGGUACAGGGUGAUAGUCCCGUACACAAAAGCGCAUGAAUUGUGAGUUCGAUGAGUAGGGCGGGACACGUGACAUCCUGUCUGAAUAUGGGGGGACCAUCCUCCAAGGCUAAAUACUCCUGACUGACCGAUAGUGAACCAGUACCGUGAGGGAAAGGCGAAAAGAACCCCGGCGAGGGGAGUGAAAUAGAACCUGAAACCGUGUACGUACAAGCAGUGGGAGCCUACUUGUUAGGUGACUGCGUACCUUUUGUAUAAUGGGUCAGCGACUUAUAUUUUGUAGCAAGGUUAACCGUAUAGGGGAGCCGUAGGGAAACCGAGUCUUAACUGGGCGUCAAGUUGCAAGGUAUAGACCCGAAACCCGGUGAUCUAGCCAUGGGCAGGUUGAAGGUUGGGUAACACUAACUGGAGGACCGAACCGACUAAUGUUGAAAAAUUAGCGGAUGACUUGUGGCUGGGGGUGAAAGGCCAAUCAAACCGGGAGAUAGCUGGUUCUCCCCGAAAGCUAUUUAGGUAGCGCCUCGUGAACUCAUCUUCGGGGGUAGAGCACUGUUUCGACUAGGGGGCCAUCCCGGCUUACCAACUCGAUGCAAACUCCGAAUACCGAAGAAUGUUAUCACGGGAGACACACGGCGGGUGCUAACGUCCGUCGUGAAGAGGGAAACAACCCAGACCGCCAGCUAAGGUCCCAAAGUCAUGGUUAAGUGGGAAACGAUGUGGGAAGGCAUAGACAGCCAGGAUGUUGGCUUAGAAGCAGCCAUCAUUUAAAGAAAGCGUAAUAGCUCACUGGUCGAGUCGGCCUGCGCGGAAGAUGUAACGGGGCUAAACCAUGCACCGAAGCUGCGGCAGCGACGCUUAGGCGUUGUUGGGUAGGGGAGCGUUCUGUAAGCCGUAGAAGGUGAACUGUGAGGUUUGCUGGAGGUAUCAGAAGUGCGAAUGCUGACAUAAGUAACGAUAAUGCGGGUGAAAAACCCGCACGCCGGAAGACCAAGGGUUCCUGUCCAACGUUAAUCGGGGCAGGGUGAGUCGACCCCUAAGGCGAGGCUGAAAAGCGUAGUCGAUGGGAAACAGGUUAAUAUUCCUGUACUUGGUGUUACUGCGAAGGGGGGACGGAGAGGGCUAGGCUAGCCGGGCGACGGUUGUCCCGGUUUAAGCGUGUAGGGGUGUAGACCUGGUAAAUCCGGUUUACUGUAACCCUGAGGCGUGAUGACGAGUCACUACGGUGAUGAAGUAGUUGAUGCCGCACUUCCAGGAAAAGCCUCUAAGCAUCAGGUAACAUUAAAUCGUACCCCAAACCGACACAGGUGGUCAGGUAGAGAAUACUCAGGCGCUUGAGAGAACUCGGGUGAAGGAACUAGGCAAAAUGGUGCCGUAACUUCGGGAGAAGGCACGCUGUCGCUAGGUGGAGGAACUUGCUUCCCGAGCCGAAGACAGUCGAAGAUACCAGCUGGCUGCAACUGUUUAAUAAAAACACAGCACUGUGCAAACACGAAAGUGGACGUAUACGGUGUGACGCCUGCCCGGUGCCGGAAGGUUAAUUGAUGGGGUUAUCCGCAAGGAGAAGCUCUUGAUCGAAGCCCCGGUAAACGGCGGCCGUAACUAUAACGGUCCUAAGGUAGCGAAAUUCCUUGUCGGGUAAGUUCCGACCUGCACGAAUGGCGUAAUGAUGGCCAGGCUGUCUCCACCCGAGACUCAGUGAAAUUGAACUCGCUGUGAAGAUGCAGUGUACCCGCGGCAAGACGGAAAGACCCCGUGAACCUUUACUAUAGCUUGACACUGAACAUUGAGCCUUGAUGUGUAGGAUAGGUGGGAGGCUUUGAAGCGUGGACGCCAGUCUGCGUGGAGCCAACCUUGAAAUACCACCCUUUAAUGUUUGAUGUUCUAACUCGGCCCC